ACCCGUUGGAAAUAUUAUUAUUAGUACAGGAUACCACCAUGACACCAAUUCAACCAUAAAUUCCCUUAUUAAAUCUAAGGACCAGAUGGCCUUUAUAUUGCUGCUCCAAAUAUGCCUUAAAUGCCUAGGCAAUCAUCAUACCCAUAGAGUGACAUGCAGUCAAAAGAAGAGAUCAGAUACUUACAACAAAACUAGGCCCGGGACACUCACACCCUUGUUGGCUGGCUCCAGAUUGGGUAGGCAGGCACUAGCAAUGAACCUUCAAAGAGACUUGCCUUUUAUACCUUAUUUAUUCAACCAAUAAACAAUUUGGUUGUUGGGGUGCUGGAACAAUUUGUAUAGUGGGGGUGCUGAGAGUCAUUGGACCAAACUGCAAACCCUGGAUUUGAUGGAAACCACUUCAAGCCAGGGAUGCAGCAGCAUCUCCAGCACCCCUAGUUCCAGCACCUAUGUUUAUAGGACCUAUGUAACAGAAGUCCCUAGUCUGUGAAUUCCUUUCUUUGUUAAUAUUGGCUAAAACCACCCUUGGUAAUUGGGGCCUCUUCUUCAAGGAAUUUUCAUUCUAUCUCACUUACACUUCCAGUCCAAUAUGUACAAUAAAGCAUAACAUCCGUUCAGAUGAAAUUGGUUAGAAUCAUCCUCUGAGGACUCCCCAGAACUGGUAAAUACCUACACUUUACAUGGCCCACGAAAACAUUUAUUUUCUUUCCUCACUAUGUGACCUCCUGAUUAGUAGUAGAGUUGUAAUCACCUGUGUGCAAAUUUUCUGGAUAAACUAAAAUACUCAACAAUUAAUAUUUUCUUAUUGUAAAUUUCUCACAAAGGACCCCACUUUUCCCCCUAUACAGGAAAAGCCUGAGGAGAGGGAAGGAAACAUCUCCCACAGUAUCCUAGGAGCUCUUCUGUUGUGGCAAGGGAUUUUUUCGCUUGUGGAAUUCCAAGUGUGGAAUGAAAACAAAAUUCUAAACCUUGAAAGUUGCUGUGAAAUGGAAUUGUUACUCUCUGGUCAGCUGUAAGAAGGAGUUCCCUAAUUUGCAAUGAUGUUUGGAAGACCUGAAUUGAAGAAUCUGAAUAUGAAUGAUGCAAGUAUCUAAGAUUCUCUGUCCCCUUCCUUCUUUCCUGGUGUAAGUGAUGUUCUACACCAGAAACGCUGUUCCAUUGAGGGCCCAUGGCAUGCAGCUGCAGACACAUUAACAAGAAUCAUAGAAAUGUAGGGCUGGAAGGGACCUUGAGAAGUCAUCAAGUCCAGGCCCCCUGCGCUGUGGCAGAACCAAAAUAAACCUAGACCAUCCUUGACAGGUAUUUGUCCAACUUUUUUUAAAAGCUUCAAAAGAUGGGGACCUCCCUUGGAAGCCUAGUCCAGAGCUUAUCUAUCCUUAAAGUUUUUCCUAAUAUCUAACCAAAAUCUCCCUGGCUGCAGACUAAGCCCAUUACUUAUUGUUCUACCUUCAGUCACCAUGGAGAACAAUUGAUGACAAUCCUCUUUAUACCAGCCCUUAACAUAUUGGAAGGCUGUUAUCAGGUAUCCCCUCAGUCUUUUCUCAAGACUAAACAUGUCCAGUUUUUCUAACCUUUCUGCAUAUGUCAGGUGUUCUAAACCUUUUAUCAUUUUUGUUGCUCUCCUCUGAAUUCUUUUCAAUUUGUCCACAUCCUUCCUGAAUUAUGGUGCCCAGAAUUGGACCCAGUACUCCAUUGAGGCCUCACCAAUGCCAAGUAGAAUUGGACAAUUAUUCCCUGUGUCCAACUUGCAACACUCUUGUUAAUACACCCAAGAAUCAUAUUAGCCCUUUUCCAGCUGCAUUACAUUGAUGACUGAAAGUCAAUUUGUGAUCCACUCUCACUCCCAGAUCCUUUUCAGCAGUACUACCACCCAGACAGUAAUUCCUGAUUUUGUAAAAAGAAAAGGAGUACUUGUGGCACCUUAGAGACUAACCAAUUUAUUUGAGCAUAAGCUUUCGUGAGCUACAGCUCACUUCAUCGGAUGCAUGAUUUUGUAGCUGUGCAUUUGAUUUUUCCUUCCUAAGCGAAGUACUUUGCACUUGUCUUUAUUGAAUUUCAUUUUGUUGAUUUCUGACCAAUCCUCUAAUUUAUCAAGGUCAUUUGGAAUUUUAAACCUAUCCUUCACAGUGUUCGCAAUCCCUCCGAGCUUGGUAUUAUCAGCAAAUUUUAUAAGCAUACUCUCCACUCCAUUAUCCAAGUCAUUAAUGAAAAUAUUAAUAGUACUUCACCCAGAAUGGACCUCUGCAGGGCUCCACUAGAUACAUCUUCCCAACUAGACAUUUGACAAGACAUUAACCUUGUUUAUGAAAUAAUAUGCUUUCUUAGCAGUACCACAGGUUUUCUAUUUGGCAGUUUCCCACUGUUUCUUAUUUUUGUCAUUCCAGUUAUCCCAGUAAACUCAAGUUAAAAUGGCAAAUUCUAAUGCUUUCCAUGGUGUUAUUGUUCGUGAAUAAUCCACUGUGAAAUGGUCAGAGAUGGCUCUUGAUAAAAUGAUAGAUAUCCAUUGUGUACUACUCACCAGUUCCCAGAGACUAGAAAUAAAUCUAUGCAGGAAUGGGAAUUAUCUGAGGCCUGGUCUACACUACGAGUUUAUGUCGGCUUUAGCAGCGUUAAAUCGAAUUAACCCUGCACCCGUCCACACAACGAAGCCCUUUUUUUCAACAUAAAGGGCUCUUAAAACUGAUUUCUGUACUCCUCCCCGAUGAGGGGAUUAGUGCUGAAAUCAACAUCACCGUUUCAAAUUAGGGUUAGUGUGGAUGCAAUUCGAAGGUAUUGGCCUCUGGGAGCUAUCCCACAGUGCACCAUUGUGAUAGCUCUGGACAGCACUCUGAACUCGGAUGCACUGGCCAGGUAUACAGGAAAAGCCCUGGGAACUUUUGAAUCUCAUUUCCUGUUUGGCCAGGUGAGCUCAUCAGCAGAGGUGACCAAGCAGUCCCAGAAUCGAAAAAGAGCUCCAGCAUGGACCAAACAGGAGGUACUGGAUCUGAUCGCUGUAUGGGGAGAGGAAUCCGUGCUAUCAGAACUACGUUCCAAAAGACGAAAUGCCAAAACAUUUCAAAAAAUCUCCGAGGCCAUGAGGGACAGAGGCUGCAUCAGGGAGGCAACACAGUGCCGCGUGAAACUUAAGGAGCUCAGACAAGUGUACCAGAAAACCAAAGAAUCAAACAGAUGCUCUGGGACAGAGCCCCAGGCAUGCUGCUUCUACGCUGAGCUGCAUGCAAUUCUGGAGGGGGGCCACCACUACCCCACCCCUGUCCAUGGACUCCGAUGAUGGGGUACUCUCUGCCAUGCCUGAGGAUUUUGCGGACGGGGAUAAUGAGGAGGAGGAGGAUGAGCUUGAGGAGAAUACACAACACACCAUUCUCCCCGACAGCCAGGAUCUUUUUAUCACUCUGACUGAAAUACCCUCCCAACCCAACGAAGCAGAAGAAGGGUGCUCUUCAGCUGCAAAUCUUUCAAGCCUCCCUCCUCCAUCGCAAAGGCUAUCUCAGAUAAGGCGGUGAAAAAAACACACGCGCGAUGAAAUGAUCUCUGAACUCAUGUAGUUGUCCAGCACUGACAGAGCUCAGCAGAAUGUGUGGAGGGACACAAUAGCAGAGUACAGGAAAGUGGCCGAUGAACGUGAGGAGAGGUGGCGGCAGGAAGAUCAGAGGAGGCAUGAUGCAAUGCUGGGGCUACUGCAGGAUCAAACGGAUGUGCUCUGGCAUCUGGUGGAGGUUCAUGAAUGGCAGCAGGAUCACAGACUGCCGCUGCAGCCCCUGUUUAACCACCCUCCCUCCUCCCCAAGUUCCAUAGCCUCCUCACCCAGAUGCCCAAGAAUGUGGGGCAGGGAGGGGGAGGCUCCGGGCACCCAACCACUCCACCCCAGUGGAGAGCCCAAGCAACAGAAGGUUGUCAUUCAACAAGUUUUGAAGUGGCCUUUUCCUUCUCUCCUACCCUCCUCCCACACCUCAUCCGGGCUAACUUGUGAGUUAUCGCCCUAUUUUUAUAAUCAAUUA